UUUGUGUUCUUUAUGGACAUGGUCAUGAAUCUUCCAUCUACAGCACAAAUAUGCAAGCAAUAAUAAUAAGAAGGUUGUUUUCAGGUUGGGAUAUGCUGUCUGCCUGAUGGAGAAACUGCUACAAGAACAUCCGCAGAAAAUCUCCAUCAUGUAUGACAUUGCAUGUGUUCUAUCAGCACAUCUGAAGAAAGCAACAGAGGAGAGCUGGCAUCAAGAGUACAAUUCCUCUUGCCUAUUUUCCACAGCUUUGGUCAUAAGAUGUCAUGUCAGCUAGAGUAUGGCCCACGAGCAGCAGCUGGGAUAGGCCUGACAGACGGCGAAACAGU